CCUACGGGUGGCAGCAGUGAGGAAUAUUGGUCAAUGGGCGAGAGCCUGAACCAGCCAAGUCGCGUGAGGGAGUACUGCCCUAUGGGUUGUAAACCUCUUUUGCCGGGGAGCAACAGCCGGACGUGUCCGGCUGUGAGAGUACCCGAUGAAAAAGCAUCGGCUAACUCCGUGCAAGCAGCCGCGGUAUAACGAGGGAUGCGGGCGUUAUCCGGAUUGCUUGGGGUUUAAGGGGGCGCAGGCGGAGUUUUAGGUCAGCGGGAAAGGCGUGGGGCUCAACCCCGUACAGCCGUUGAAACUGGGGGUCUGGAGUGUGCGAGAGGUAUGCGGAAUGCGUGGGGUAGCGGUGAAAUGCAGAGAGAUCACGCAGAACCCCGAUGGCGAAGGCAGCAUACCGGUGCACAACUGACGCUCAGGCACGAAAGCGUGGGUAUCGAACAGGAUUAGAUACCCGGGUAGUC
rnacentral:rRNA from 1 species